rnacentral:lncRNA from 1 species
GAUUAAUUUACAUGACCAGUGAGGUUUUUUUUUCCUUAUUUCGUUUAUUCCUAUCGAUUUAUUUCCAGGUUUUGUCUCAUUAGGAUCAAUUGCGUUGAAUACAAAUUUUAAAAAUUUAGUUUUUUUUCUGAGUUCGUUCUUACCUGUUCUUGGUCUGAAAAUAAAAAAAGGUCUUUCAAAUUUAAACUCGACUUUGGUUCGUUACCGAAUUCAUUGAUUAUAGUUAAGAACUCGUCAAUUUCUGUUGAUAAUGGUUUUUUUAUCAAUUGUAUCCACUUUUUGUUCAAAUUCUUGGUAAUCAGUAUUCGGAAGAAAGAUAGUAUGAAUCCUAUUUAGUUUAACUCUCUCUUUCAAAUUUUCUAUCGAAUUAUUGUUUAUGAUUGAAGGUGAAACCCCUUUUUUGAUUGUUCCUCGAUAUGGUCCAUUUAACAAAGGAUCGUACAUUUUAGGCAUGUAUUCUUUUUUAGUAUCAUCAUUACACUAUCUAGUCCUCGUUUCAAGUAUAUCCAGAGAAAGAGAUUCCUUGUCUAGAACUUCAAGUCGAUUUAAAAAUUCCUUAUUCAGAUUAUUACUUUUUUCUUUGUUGGUAGAAACCCACUGAUUGUCCAGUUCAUGAGGGAGCAUUUUUUGGAGUGACAAUAGGGGUAUCUUUCUUUUUAUCAUUUCCCAAAAAGUUGAUAAACUUGGCAGGUAUGUAAAAGAUAUUCUUUGUUUUCCAUCAGUUUUACAUGUGUCAAAAAAAUAUUGUGACAUUUCAGUUCUUAUGGCUUGGUCAAAUCGAUUAUUCUUUAUUUAGCAAAAUGGUCGAUUCCACCGAUUAUAAUCGAAAAGAAUACUCACAAGAGGUUUUUUAAACCCGAAGAGGUCUUGAUUUUCAUUUUCGUUAUCAAGCAAUUGCAAUUUAAAAUUUUCUGGAUUACCCGUGUUAUUAUUAUUAUUAUUCAGAUAAGAAUCUUUUUUAUCAUAAAUUUCACAAUUACUAGUAUUAAUAUUUUUAUAGCCUCUCUCUGUAAGGUGAGAGUGGAAUUUAUCCUUUAUUUUGUCCUUUCCAUUCACUCGAAUUUCUUCCGUUUCAUCGAUUUUGUCCGGAUCCGACCCUUCUUCCGAAAAAGGGGAAGGAGAAGGAUAAGGAUCUUCUUCAGUGGAUCCCUCUUGAAAAAGGGAAGGAGAAGGAUAAGGAUCUUCUUCAGUGGAUCCCUCUUGAAAAAGGGAAGGAGAAGGAUAAGGAUCUUCUUCAGUGGAUCCCUCUUGUUCCUGUUUAGUCCCCUUCAUUUCGGAAGCAGUUUCUACAUCUCUUUCUUCCUCACUUUCCUCCCUUUCUUCUGUUUUUGAGGCCUCUUUCAGUUUCUUAGCUUCUUUCAGUUUCUUAGUAAGAAUGGGUGAGGGUAUUCUGCCUAAAUAGUAGACACAGGUAAUAAAUAAGAGAAUACUAAAGAUCCGAGCCAUAGAAUUUCUCAAUUCUAACACAAGGUACUUAUUAGAUCGAAUGUACUUAUUAGAUCGAAUGUACUUAUUCGAUCUAAUAGAAUGAUUUUGCCGUAUCCAGACUAAUCCCAAUCCAAGUCAUUUCAUGAAUAAAAUGUGAACAAUUAACCAACCAACAAAACCAUUUGUUACAAAUAAGAUCUUGUUGUUGCAUCGAAAGAGAUAAAUGUUGACUAAUCUGGCUAACAUUGAACUUGGUAAAAUGAAAUGGUUGAAUAAUUGAAAAAUGAGAUUACUCAGGAAUACACAUUGAAUGCUGAGAUUGCACAUUGAAUUUCUGGUAGUAUAUCCAUAAAAAAAAAGUGUUUGUGAUUGUUCCAGAAGAAAUGAAACAAAAGAUAUGGUAGAGCUAGGACGGUUAUUGUAUGAGGUCUACCCAAUGCUAGAUGCAGAGGAGCAUAAUAGAUCGAUAUGAACAUCAUGAGCUAUCCCAUAAUAAAACCAGUUGUUGUUGAUACCUUCUUCUCGGUUCCUUCUUCCAUAACUAGAGCUCGAAGAAGGAAGAGAUAAGAGGGCCCUAUGGAGAACGUGGUAAGAAAUUCAUAAUAGAGUCCGACUACAACAACUGAAUUGAUUGUCUUCAUGCAUAAGGAUACUAGAUUACCUAGUAGAAAAGAUUAAAAAAUCAUCACAAACCUCCCUUAUUUCUUUUUCUAUUGCAAUUUCUGGAUUAUUAUAUGAUGAUUUUUUCACUUUCCAUAUAUAGAAAAGAAAUAGAAAGAGAUAGACUAGAAACAACAUCUAUUAUGCCAAUAAGACCAAAGGGAUAUUAAAUGAAUGGAAUUGGGAUAUGGAUGGAAUAUAAUGAAAUAAAUCCACUUUGUGGUUCCUUCUGAAAUGAGGCAUGUAAGGGAGUCACUACGAAGAAGUUUCGAGAGUUACAAAGGAAAAUUCUAGCUCAUAUUGGUCAUGGGUUGGGAAUAGGAAUUGAAAUCUAUGAGAUUGAAUCUCUUGUUGUUCCUCAGUAGCUCAGUGGUAGAGCGGUCGGCUGUUAACCGAUUGGUUGUAGGUUCAAAUCCUACUUGGGGAGAUUUGAUUGAUUCUGAAUUAAAGAAUUCAGAAUAAAGGGGCUCGCUUUGCCCGUUAACAGUAGGUAACCCAUUCCCUAUCUUUUUUUCUUUUGCAUUCUAUCUCAUCAUAUCACAUUCUGUUCUGGGAGAUUACAAAAUCACCAUCAAUACCUCAGUCUAAGUCCGAGAUAAUCCUUUGUUCCAUAGCCCUGGGGUGGGGCUAAUUACAACUAGCCAAUUAAGAAGUCUCAGAUGUACUAGCACUGCAUCUUUGAUGCAGUCAUCAAUUCUCCCAUAUAAAUGAAAGAAAAAGAAAAAGGAAUGACAUCACAACGAGAUUCUAAUCUCAAAACAAAAAGAAAGGGGGAUAUGGCGAAAUCGGUAGACGCUACGGACUUAAUUGGAUUGAGCCUUGGUAUGGAAAUGUACUAAGUGAUCACUUUCAAAUUCAGAGAAACCUUGGAAUGAACAAAAAUGGGCGAUCCUAAGCCAAAUCAUUUUUUUUGAAAACAAAUAAAGGUUCAGAAAAAAAGGAUAGGCGCAGAAACUCAAAUGAAAGCUAUUCUAACAAAUGGAGUUAAAUGUGUUGGUAGAGGAAUCUUUACAUUGAAACUUCAGAAAGAAAAAGAAUGAAGUGAAGUAUAAAUAUAUAUACAUACGUAUUGAAUACUAUAUCAAAUGAUUAAUGACGAUCCGAAUCCCUGAUCAAAUCAUUCACUCCAUAGUCUGAUAGAUCUUUUGAAGAACUGAUUAAUCGGACGAGAAUAAAGAUAGAGUCCCGUUCUACAUGUCAAUACCGGCAACAAUGAAAUUUAUAGUAAGAGGAAAAUCCGUCGACUUUUAAAAUCAUGAGGGUUGAAGUCCCUCUAUCCCCAAAAAGACUAUUUCAACCCCCAACUAUUUCUCCGACCCCUUUUCCUUAGCAGUUCCAAAUUACUUAUCUUUCUCAUUCACUCUAUUAUUUUAGAAAUGGAUUUUUCUUUUAGAAAUGGAUUUUAGCGUAAAUGGAUUUCUCUUCAGCCUUGUGAUAUAUAUGAUACACAUAGAACUGAACAUCUUUGAGUAAGGAAUACCUAGUUGAAUGAUUACCCAUAUCAUUACUCAAUACUAAAACUUACAAAGUCAUUUUUUUGAAGAUCGAAGAAAUUCCCCGGCUUUGAUAAAAUUUUUUAAUCAACUUUUGUCCUUUUAAUUUACAAAGACCUAUUGACAAAGACCCCUUUAUGUGUUGAGAUAAAAUUUUUUAAGAUAAAAUUAGAGUAACAAGCAGAGAACUAAAAAUCCUCAUGUUAAUGAAUGGUUCCAAUUGGGAAGACCACAGGACUCUAAAUCCUCCUAUUAACGGGGACUGAAAAUUCUUAUGUUCGAGGUUCCAAUUGGGAUUGGUAGACCAAAGGAUUGUAAAUCCUCGUCCCACCAGUUCCAAUUAGGAAUACCGGGGGACUCUAAAUCUUUGUGUUCAAGGUUCGAAUUAGGAUUGGUAUAGCCCUGAAAAUCCUCGGGUUACCAGUCCCAACCUUGAUAAAAAAUCUGGAUUGGGAAUAGCCGGGAUAGCUCAGUUGGUAGAGCAGAGGACUGAAAAUCCUCGUGUCACCAGUUCAAAUCUGGUUCCUGGCACAUGAUUAAUUUGUAUGGGUCUCUCUUCACUAGAAUUAAUUUCUAAUUAAUUGAUAUGAAUCAACAUACAUAUUCUUUUAGAGUCUAGAUUAGAAUAAUAGCUUUAUCCAGUUUGGCGAGAUAUACCCCAUACUAUGUUCUAUAUGGGUAGAGUUUCUUAGAUAAAGUAUCGAAAAGAAUUGGAUUCUAUCUCCUCUUUUUUUUCUUCUCUCGUUCAAACAAAUUUGAAUACGUAAUACAUAUUUGAAAGGUAAAAUUGGUUAAUUGUUGAAAGUCUCAAAAGUCGAAUCUAGGAGGGUUGAAAUAAACAAGAUUCAGCUCAGAUCCAAAGAAAUAGAAUUCGAUAUUCUAUCAUUUCUUUGUCUUUUCUUUCAUAUUCGAUUUCUUCAUUCCGGAUUUCUCCAUCCCUUCCUAUAUGCCCUUCUAGAACCCAUCUAAGUAAUGUGCGCAGUACAAAGUUCAUGAUGCAGAACUCAUUUGGUUCAUCCUAUAGGUAUGACUCAUCCGAAAUAAGAAUCUUCUAAAUAAAUGUGAGAAUUACAAUGAAUCCCCAAUUGUCUUUUUUUGUUAGACUAUUUAUAAUUCCCUAAAUUAGACCUGCUUAAUCUAGAACAGAACAUGCAAUCCUUGAAUAUCUUAAAUUGUCUAAGUGGAAAUAGCUUUCUUAUCAUUCAAUGAGCAUCUUGUAUUUCAUAAAAAUUGGGGGCAAUAUAAUCCUUACAUAAGGGCCAUCCUAUCCAACUUUCAGGCAUUAAGAUACAUUUCAAGGAUUGAGAGUAGAGAUAAUUGUACCCAUACACAUAAAAAAUGACAGCAAUGGAAUGCCAAUCCUCGGGCUUUAUUUGUAAAGUCUCUAUUCCUUGGUAAUCAAACAUCCAAAGAUCUAUGAAUUAGCCCAUACUUGACUAGCCAAGUAGACAAAAGACCCUGCAUCUUUUUUAUCUCUCCCGCAUUUUUAUUUGUAUAAGUAUUUCAGAUUUAUGAUUAAAUUUAUGAAAAUUGACCCACCACUUCUUUUAUGGACAAAGGAAUCCUCUCUAAUUCACUAAUUCGGGGGAAGAUACUAAAUUUUUGUAUUUGGAAAAGAUUUUCGUAGGGAUCUCUGAAGUAGAUGGUGGUUGAUAAAGAACUCUUUGAUCAUAAUUUCCCGUAUGAAUACUGCGUCGAACAUGAAACUUGUUAUUGGUAGUAAAACACCGAAUCACUCAUUGAGACCUAAUUCGAUCUUCAUAGAGUUCUCGAGAUAUUUUCUUACGAAGUUUUGUUAUAGCAUCUAUAAUUGAUUCUGGUUUAGGUGGGCAACCUGGAAAAUAUAUAUCUAUAGGAAUUAACUUAUCGACUCCCCGAACAGUACUAUAAGAAUUGGUACUGAACAUCGCACCUCUAAUUGUACAGGAUCCCAUAAAAAUAACAUAUUUUGGUUUAGGCAUUUGCUCAUAUAAUCUCAUUAAAGAGGGGGCCAUUUUCAUUGUUACUGUUCCAGCUGUUAAAAUUAGAUUCGCUUUUCUAGAACUCUAUCUUGGUACUAGUCCAUAACGAUCAAAGUCGAAGCGUGAGCCUAUUAGUGAAGCAAAUUCAAUGAAGCAACAAUUGGUACCAUAGAGAAGCGGCCAUAAACUAGAGAGUCUUAACCAAUUUGAAAGAUCAUUUAAUGUAGUUGAAAUAACUGAAUUUGGGGCUGUUCGAUCAAGUAAAGGAAACUAAAUAGAAUUCAUACCUGUCUCAAUCUUAUUUUUUUCGUUUUUCUUUUUACUGUCUAAAUAUUCAGGAGCUAAGACCAUUCCAAUGCCCCCUUUCGCCAUGCAUAAACUAAACAAUAAUUAAGGUAAUCACAAAAAUCGAAGCUUCUAUAUAUACAGAUACACCCAAUACGUCGAAACUCAUUGUCCAUGGAUAAAGAAAAACCAUUUCAACAUCAAAAACAACAAAAACUAGAGCAAACAUAUAAUAACAGAUUCGAAAUUGUAACCAAGCAUCACCCAUUGGUUCUAUACCCGACUCAUAAGUAGAAAGUUUCUCCGGCCCUUUGCUAAUCGGGGCUAACACUCCGGAAAUGAAAAAUGCCAAAAUAGGAACAAGGAUGGAUAUUAUUAGAAAUGCCCAAAAAAAAUCAUAUUCGUAAAGCAGAAACAUAAACGCACUCCUAUGAACGUGGAAAAUAUACCGGAUUCGAUUGGUCGAUUCAAACAUGAAUUAAAGACAGGGAUAGAAUGUAGCAGUACCAAAUAUAUUUACUUUACCUAGUACUCAAGAUUAUUUCCCUAGGUCGAGGUAAGUAAGGUAUACGAAGGAAAAGCCUAUUUGAUAAUAAAAGUGACCAAAGAUAUUCGUUUAUCAAAAAACUUUAGCUUGUACACAAAUACAACAGUCCCUUCCUCAAUCUAUGUGAAUUCCUCUUCGUAGUUUUUCAUUUCACCAGGCCCGUGAAAUGAUUUGACUUCCAAAAUUCAAUAAUAUUGGGGAUAUAAAAGAAAGGGAGUUUCACUAAUUCUUUAAUUGUGGAUAUGAAUAUGUAAUUCGCCUCCGAAGAUUAAUGAUGAAAGAUUGGUUUGUUUAUCUGUAAUUGAAAAAAUAAAUAUCGAUUGGAUCUAUUGAUAUGCGUUUUUUUUUCAUCUUCUUAAACUUAAAUGAUUGCCAUGAGUAAACUUAUAGGAAUAGUUGAAUUUCACUUAGUUACAAGCAAUAAAUAAUAAUGAAGAAAUGAAAAUUAUACAAUUUUUUUUCAUUUUUAUUUUAAUUUAUAGGGCUAUAUAGACUUGAACCGUAGACCUUCUCGGUAAAACUGAUCGAACUUAUUAUUAUUAUAAUGAUCUGAACUGUUUCAAAGACCCAACAUGCAAUUUUUUUGCAUUGGGCUCUUUCAUUAACUGAUAUUUAUAGCAGUUAGUCUGCCAUAUUUUUCUUGACAGGAAAAAAGAUAAGGAAAUGGCUCCAUGUGCUCUGAUUCAUUAUUUGGGAGCAUUACCAAAGUGUUUCAAAGGUGGGAUUAUCUUGACGUAGUUCUGUCUCUGGCCUAAAUAAACCUAAGUUAAAUGAAGUCUCUAUCAUUUCUUCUUAAAAAAUCAAAUAUGAAACUUCAUACACCUUAAAGUUCAUAUGACGAAAAGAGAUUUUUUUGAGGUCCUUAUACUCUCAUUUUGCCUAGUAUUGAAUAGACUGGGUAUUCACCUUAUCAACAUCUUAAAUCAAUGAUGGGGUCUGUUUGGCACCUCCUAAAUAGACGUCCAAAUUGGACCGAACCCUUUGUCAGGCUAUGGUUCCCUCAAAGUUAUGGAGUAAGACAUCGAUUUCUCAACAAGAUCGAUUUUUCUGAUUGUAUGAUGAACUCCCUUGAAAAACAUUGGCGCGCGUGUAAACGAGUUGCUCUACCAACUGAGCUAUAGCCCUUAGUGCUUGUGAUACAUAUUUUAUCAUGUAGAUAAAUUCUUGUCAAGAUAAAUAUUCCAUGAUCCAACAUCAACAAUCUUUGAUCUCUUUGAGUGGUAUUCCUUAGAUUAGUAUUGCUUAUUAGAUUAGUAUUGCUUAUAAGUAAUAUGAUAUUUAUAAUCCAUCGACAGGAUGGGUUUCGUUUGGUUCUCUUUGGAAUGAUAAAUGACCUACUUAACUCAGUGGUUAGAGUACUGCUUUCAUACGGCGGGAGUCAUUGGUUCAAAUCCAAUAGUAGGUAAAACUUAUUAGAUACCAGAGUCAAUGGUAUCUAAUAAGCUUUACAACCCACCUUUAGUGAUAUUUAUUUUUUGAUUUUGUAUAUUUUCUAUUUCAUUUUUAAAUUUGAAUUUCUGCAUCAGAAUUGACUUUUGUUUGAUUGUAUUCACCCAACAGAAUCUAAAUAGGAUUAGAAAGAGAACUUCUUUUAUUAUUCAAAUAUACUAAAUAGUCAUACUAAAUAGUUAUGAAAUUGGAUUGAUAGCCUUCACCCGUGUUCUAGCUCAUUGGAGAGCUAGAUUUGCCUCAAUUUUUUGUCUCCUUCCAUCAGCCUUUUUCAGAUUUGCCUCCACUAUUUCAAGAGUUUGCUGAGCUUCUUGUGGAUGAAUGUCACUACCUUCUUGUGGAUGAAUGUCACUACCCUUCUCCGCAUCAUUUACUAAAACAGUGAUCUCAUUAUUGCCUAUUCUAGCAAAGCCAACCAUCAGAGCCAUCGUUAACCAUUGGUUGUUAAGGCGUAUUCGCAAAAUCCCUAUAUCUACAGCUGUGGCAAUAGGGACGUGAUUUGGUAAUAUGCCAAUUUGACCACUAUUAGUAGAUAACACGAUUUCUUCCACUUCUGAAUCCCAAACAAUUUGAUUAGGAGUCAGUACACUAAGAUUUAAGGUCAUUUUUUCAAAUUUCUCUCCAUUUCUAAGUUCAUAGCCUUCGCGGUAGCUUCAUCGAUAUUACCUACAAAAUAAAAGGCCAUUUCAGGAAGACCAUCUAAUUCUACGGAAAGGAUCAAUUGAAAUCCUCGAAUUGUUUCUACUAGACCAACAUAUUUCCUUGGAGAACCAGUAAAUACUUCUGCUACGAAAAAGGGUUGUGAUAAGAAACGCGCAAUUUUUAUGCUCUUGCUACGAGUAAACGAUCCUCUUCGGAUAAUUCAUCCAAUCCAAGGAUAGCUAUAAUGUCCUGAAGUUCUUUAUAACGUUGUAAAGUUUGCUUAACUCGUUGGACGGUUUUGUAAUGUUCCUCACCAAUGAUCCGAGGUUGAAGCAUGGUUGACGUUAAAUCUAAAGGAUCUACUUCUAGAUAAAUACCUUUGGAAGCCAAUCCUAUUGAUAGUAUGGUAGUAGCAUCUAAAUGUGCAAAUGUCGUAGAAGGAGCAGGGUCGGUCAAAUCAUCUGCGGGUACAUAAACUGCUUGAAUAGAUGUUAUGGACCCUUCUUUGGUAGAAGUAAUUAUUUCUUGUAAAAAACCUAUUUCAGUACUUAGGGUCAGUUGAUAACCCACAGCGGAAGGCAUUCUACCCAAUAAGGCCGAUACUUCAGAUCUUGCUUGGAUGAAACGGAAGAUAUUGUCAAUAAAUAGAAGUACGUCUUGCUCAUUAACAUCUCGGAAAUAUUCCGCCAUAGUUAGGGCAGUCAAACCAACUCUCAUACGAGAUCCUGGUGUUUCAUUUAUCUGACCGUAAAAUAGGUCCACUUUUGAUUCUACAAUAUUUUCUUCAUUAAUCACUCCAGAUUCUUUCAUUUCCAUGUAAAGAUCAUUUCCUUCCCAAGUACGUUCACCCACUCCGCCAAAUACGGAUACACCCCCAUGAGCUUUAGUAAUAUUGUUAAUCAAUGCCAUAAUGAAUACUGUUUUACCCACUCCAACUCCCCCAAAUAGUCUAAUUUUUCCUCCACGACGAUAACAGGCUAGAAGAUCUACUACUCUAAUUCCUGUUUCAAAAAUAGAUAAUUUUGUAUCCAACUGUAUAAAGGCAGGCACAGAUCUAUGAAUAGGAAACAUUGUACUAGUAUAUACAGGCCCUAAAUUAUCAAUAGGAUCUUCGAGCACAUUAAAAAUUCAUCCCAGAGUCGCCACCCCGACCGGAACACUUAUAAGAGCUCCUGUGUCAAUCGCUUCCAUUCUUCUCGUUAAACCGUCUUUAGCACUCAUAUCUACAACUCUAACUCAAUUAUUUCCUAAUAAUUAUUUUACCUCACAAGCCAUAUUAAUUGGUUGACCAACACUAUCUCGACCUUGAGCUACGAGAGCAUUAUAAAUAUUUGGCACCUUGCCCGGGGGAAAGGCUACAUCUAGUACCGGACUGAUGAUUUGGAUGACACGCCCCAGGUUUUUUUUUCAAGCGUGGAAACCCCAGAACUAGAAGUAGCAGGAUUGAUUCUCAUAAUAAUAAAACAAAUAAAUAUGUUGAAAUGUUUUUUCAAAAAUUAUCGAAUUCAAAGUAAAUGUCCGCUAGCACAUCGAUUGGUUAAUUCAAUAAAAUGGGAAUUAGCACUCGAUUUCGUUGGCACCAUGCAAUUGAACCAAUUCAAUUGUUUACUUAUUCAAUGAGAUUGAUUUAAUUUGCAAGCUCACCCAACCUAUUUUAAUUUAAAAAUCUCAAGUGGAUGAAUCAGAAUCUUGAGAAACUCUUUCAUUUGUCUAUCAUUAUAGACAAUCCUAUCCAUAUUAUCUAUUAUAUGGAAUUCGAACUUGAACUUUAUUUUAUUUUCUAUUACGAUUCUCUAUUUGGAUCUAAUGGGCUCCUCUUCUUAUUUUUCUUAUUUAUUUUUUAGUUAAAUUUCAGCAUAUUGAUUUAUGCCUAGCUUAUUCUUUUCUUUACGUUUUUCUUUCUUUUUUAUACCUUUCAUAGAAGAAUUCCAUAUAUUUUCACAUUCAGGAUUUACAUAUACAACAUAUACCACUGUCAAAGGG